UACGGAAUCUUCGGCAAUGGGGGCAACCCUGACCGAGCAACGCCGCGUGAGUGAAGAAGGUGUUCGGAUCGUAAAGCUCUGUUGUAAGAGAAAAACGUGUGUGAGAGUGGAAAGUGACACAGUGACGGUAACUUACCAGAAAGGGACGGCUAACUACGUG
rnacentral:rRNA from 1 species